rnacentral:lncRNA from 1 species
UUUUUUUUUUUUUUUUUUUUUUUUGAGACGGAGUCUUGCUCUGUCACCCAGGCUGGAGUGCAGUGGCCGGAUCUCAGCUCACUGCAAGCUCCUCCGCCCGGGUUUACGCCAUUCUCCUGCCUCAGCCUCCCGAGUAGCUGGGACUACAGGCGCCCACCAGCGCCCGGUUAGUUUUUUGUAUUUUUAGUAGAGACGGGGUUUCACUGUGUUAGCCAGGAUGGUCUCGAUUUCCUGACCUCGUGAUCCGCCCGCCUCGGCCUCCCAAAGUGCUGGGAUUACAGGCUUGAGCCACCGCGCCCGGCCGAAUGCUAUUCUUAAAAAGACAAAAAUUAACAAAUGAUGGUUAGGACAUGAAGACAAUGAAUCUCUCAUACAAUGCUUGUGGGAAUAUAAAUUAGUAUAGCUCUUGUGAAAGACAGUAUGUAUGCUUCUCAAAAAACUGAAAAUAGAAAUACUAUACAUGCUAGCAAUCCAAAUACUGGUUAUCUAAAGAAAAGGGAAUCAGUAUUCCAGAGUGAUACCUGCAUCCUUAUACUCAUUGCAACACUAUUCACAAUAGCCAAGAUAUGGAAUCAACCGAAAUGUUCAUCAACACAUAAAUGGAUAAAGAAAAUGUUAUGUAUAUAUACACAAUAGUAUACUAUUCAGUCACAAAAAAAUACAUCUUAUCAUUUUCAGUCACGUGGAUGGAACUAGAGAUCAUUAAGUUAAGCAAAAUAAGUCUGGCAGAGAAAGACAAUUGUCACAUCCUUCACUCAUAUGUAGGAGAUUAAAAAUGUUGAUCUCAUGAAGAUCAUAAAGACAGAGAGUAGUAUGAUACUUACUAGAGACUGAGAAGGGGUAGGAAUGAAGAGAGGUUGGUUAAUGGAUACAAACUUACAGUUAGAUAGAAGGAAUAAACUCUGAUGCUUGAUAGCACAGUAGGAUGAAUACAGUUAAUACCUGGAAGAUUUUAAAUGUUCCCAAUACAAAAUAAUAAUAAAUGCUCGAGUUGGUGAAUAUCUUAAGUAACCUGAUAUGAUCAUUGCACAUUGCAUGCAUAUAUCAAAAAACAAAUGUACCCCAUAAAUGUGUACAUUUUUUGUAUCAAUAAAAAAGUAAUAAAAAUAAUUACAACAAAGUCUGACAUUUAUUUUCCACUUCUUG